GCCUGGAUAGCUCAGUUGGUUAGAGGAUGGUGCUGAUAAGGCCAAGGUUACAGGUUCAAUCACUCUAUGGGACA